CAUAUAUUUGAGUUUUCUUGUAUGAGAGUGCAGAAAAUCCAGUAGAAAAAAAGAAGAAAUUCGCAACAAAUCGCAACAAAGAUUAUGAAGUUGACGGAUCCGUCUCACGGUUGGACUCUCACCUACCGACCACAACCAGCGCAUCGGCAUGUCCGGCAUGCGUUACACCCGCUGAAAAAGUGCAGAAGCUCGCCCGCUAGUGAUUGGUUCCUGAUGGCGGCGACAACCAAUUACGAGGAUGGGGAUCAUUUGGUUGGACGUGAUUUGGCACGGGUCAGUUGUCAGUAGCUGCUGGAUGCUGGAUUUUUACGGUGGCUAACCUUCCCGGAAGGACACUCUGGUCAAACAAUUUGAUGUGCGCAUAUGAAAUUCCUCUUAUGUUCCUACGGUUCCAGCUCCAGGAUCACCCCAGAUGAUUUUUGAAAGUUUACAAUUCUAUUUUUUAUGAGAUUUUUUGAAAUAAAGUACAUGGAAGAAAGCAAAACAU